UGUUGAAAAUUGGUGCAGUCCUCUCCAAUUGGGUGAACUGGUGCUCUGCACCAAUUUUUCUCCGCUAGGACGGUGGACGAAGAAUUUCCCCGCGUAACCCCGUUUGCCGGCGACUUGGUAAGGAAAAGAAAAUGGCAAGAAGGCUUCUUUCUCUCUCUGCUUCUAGGGCAAGAAUGGAUCUCCGUUUCGCGGCAGCGACUAGAGACCAACAAGGGCCGGCGUAGAUCGGUGGUGAUCGGGAAGGCCGCAAGGGGCUGGCCAGAUACCUCUGGUGUAAGAGGGUUCUAAUCCUUUGGUCGCCGCUUCAAGAAAAAUAGAGAAACAAUAACCGAUGAUACUGUUCCUCAUCUUUUAUGUUUCUGCCUUUCUUUGUUUUAAUUUCUUUUUUGUCCCAUUUUUAUUUUAGAGUUACAAUUGAUGUUGUGAAGAGGAUAUUUCUUUGGUAUAUUUUAACGCCUCUAGGUAUUGAUCAUCAUUUCUGGUCUAUUGAUUGAUGAUGAAUUUAUUUUUAUCGAGACUUCUAUUCUAUGUAUUUGCUUGAUUUGGACUGGGAAUCUAAAAAUAUAUUUUUUUCGAAUCAGGUGAAUUCAUUGGAAAUUUUCAAUUUGAAAUUUUACAGUGGCUUCUUUUCUUUUUUUUUUUGUCAUGUUUCGUUUGUUAUCUGUUUUGGGAAAAAUGAGAAGUUAAUUUUUUUCAUUUCUCCUUCUGUUUGGUAUCUUGUAUUUCUCUCUGUUUAUAUAUAUAUUUUAGAUUGUAGUAACAUAAUAUUGUUAUUACUAUUACCAUGGGAGUAAGUAGUGACAUCCCAGUGUUGCUGCCAUGAUCAUAUUAGUACGUAGUGACAUACUAGUGUUACUACCAUUAUUAUAAUAAUAAUAUGAUUUCUAUAUGUUUCUAAUGUUUAUUCUACAAUAUUUUUUGUUUUGCCACUGCUAAUAUAUCUUUGGAUCUCGUGAUAUUGAUAAUUUAUUGAGAACAAUGUAACUUUCAAUCAAUACUUGAAAUAUA